rnacentral:lncRNA from 1 species
CUCUAGGAAAAGUAAAUACAAAAUUAAUAAAAAGACAAGACACGCAUUGCCUUGGGCAUCAAAAGGUUUUUUUAAAAUAAUGUGCAAAUACAUUUGAGCCAUGUCCCGAGGUGAUAACCACCAAGUCAGGAUAACAAAAUCGAACUUGAACUAGCGUACAUACCCCUACUCUUGCUAACACCCUUAGGUAUUUGGUUUGAAAAUGAUCAUUCUGGAAUAACUAAUUAUCCCGAAAUAAAAUAAAAGAAUACAUUUUUCUUUAUUUGGUUGGAGGAAUUAAUACAAUCCGAGAUAACUUAUCCCACCAUUUUUAUCCCAUAUACAUGGUGGGAUAUGUUAUUCCGGGAUAACCAUUUUCAAAUCAAACGAUCCCUUAGAAUUAGAUACGUCCUCUUCCUCUUUCUAAAGUACAAAUCCCUUAGCUCUUAGAUCUAGACUUCCAAUAUGGCUAGCCAAAUCAUAGGACUUAUCAAUCUCCCUCUUGAAUUUUAGAUGUUGCUUUUUGAACUCAUGAAGGAUGAAUGCCAAGAUAAACUGUGUCCUAUGUCAUCUUGAGGUCAAGGACUUUUCUUCGAGCAAACUCCUACUUCUCCAAUGUGUUGAACCUCUUUUUCAUAUGAUGGAUCUUGGCCCUAGUUGGCUCUUAAGUAGAAGGAGAUGGGGAAUGCCCCUUUGAGUGAGGGUUGCACAAGCAGGCAGUAUAAAUGUAGAAGGAGAUGGGGAAUGCCCCUUUGAGUGAGGGUUGCACAAGCAGGCAGUAUAAAUGUAUUUAUCCCUUGAGAAGGGUGCUGAUAGAACUAGACUAUAAAAGGUUCUCCUGUUGGAGAAUGGCCACUUGCUCUGCUAGAAGGGAAGCACAUCCCUUUGAUGGUUAUCCCUUUUAAUUUGAAGUGCAUAAAAUUUGGCCUUGAGCACUUUAAUUUCUGAUAACCACUAGGUUGUAAUAUUGGCAGAAAUGCUCGACUCUUGCAAAAUAUAUAGAGAACCUUUGAGCCCCAGAGUCUCACCAGUAACUUUCCUUCUCCAUCAAUAAUCAUUGAAGCACCUCAACCAUUAAGACACUUGCCUAAAAAAAGAAGCAUGUUAGGAGUUGUUCCUAAAGAAAAAUAAAAGGGGGACAAGUAUAACUUACCCUCACUAUAUAAUGAGAGACAUAAUUUAUUUAUGCAUUGAAUAAAGGUCUCUUUCAUUUUGUGAUAGUCCUUUGAGGAAAUGCCGAUAUUUACAUAAUUAGUUACCUUAAUCAGCCUUGAGAUAAACAAGGUUUACCUCACUAAGAACAACUAAGAUGGUCGUCUAUUAAUACGAGGUAGCAUGAUCAGUAGAAGGAUCUAUACCUACAAGACUUAAGAUGAAGAAAGAACUAGCAUUCGAAAACUCAAACACACAGGGAUAGGUGGAGAUACUACCUUUGACUAUGACUAGCCCUACAAGGGAUGAUCUUAGUUAAAAUAGGUAUAGCACGAGGUGGACCCCUUAUCAUUCCUUUCAUUGUCCAUAAAAUAAAAUAGCUUGGCUAUCUCAUACUCAACAAAGAUGGGAGAUUUCUCCCAAUUAUUUGAAGUUACGUAAGGUAAGCUAUCAGAACUCCCAAUGGAAACUACUUUUCUUCAAGAUUAUAUUCUCUUGUUAAUUAUGAUAGUACCAGUAAUUCCCCAAACUACUAGAGCUAUGGGGAACAAGAGAAUUGUUAGAAAGAAGUUCCAGGCUUGUGUCUGUCUGAGAAUGGAAGUGACUCUCAAAAGUCCAUCCAACAAGGCUAAGAGACACAACAAAAGAUGGGAGAAUCACAGAGUCUGGCUUCAAAAAUGGUGUAGAAAAGAGCAUAAGAAAUAUCCUAAAAAUUUUAAAAUAAUUAAGGCUUACUCAAAUAUAAAAGAUCCUUAUCGUGAUUCUUUGCUUUCCAUCCAUGAUAGCUUGAUACACUAGCACAGGUGUGGUUAUCUACAGUGGUACAUUUGAGAAUAAAGCCACCUAAAGGAAAAUCAUCUAGGUUUUACCAAAGAGCUUGCUGUCUCAAGGUAGAUGCCACUGUGGAUCUAUGAAAUAUGCAUAAAAAAGUGACGUACUAAUGAGAAGCAAGGUAAAAAAGAGAUAUAAUGCACAAAAACUUAAGAUGAGUAUUCCAUGGAAAUAUAUAAAAAGCCCCAAAGAGGCCUGUAAGGGAUACAUAAAGUGAUCAGUCCACUCAUAGUCUUGGAAUCACCCAAGCAGAUUAUAAUUAACUUAUUUCCCCAGUAGAGGAUUUAGUGCCCUAAUAGAUCAAUUUAAUUAUCUCACCCUGUAGCAAGCAUAGGAAAUAGAGUAUAAGAAGAUGAGUCAAGGUAAAACUAACACCCAACAUAAAAGUAAGUGCAUGAAUAUAGGUGAUAGUUUGCCACACUCCCGAGUUUAGUUGGCCAAGGGACAGUUAAAAAGUGUUGCAGAAGUAAGAGACCACCUCGUCUAUUAGAUUACCAAGGCCGAUACUAAGCAUGUAUAUGUAAACAUAAAAGAUUUGGCAUUUAGCAAAUAAUAUUAUCACCAAGCUUAGAAAUCUCCCAAUAAAUCCUUAUUUCUUCCAAUCUGCACUCUUAGAUAAUUAGGAAAGAGAGUCCUCCUUUGCCAGGCAGCCCAACCUGUAUACAAGUAUUCCAUUGAGAUCCUCAUUAAGCUGGUUAAAAAAUCCUCCAAAACUUUGAACAAACUAGGUACUACUUUGUCAAUAAUGGACCCAAGAAAGAAGGGUUAUUACCUUUUUCUUUACUAUAGAAGUAUUAGAUCUGAGUUAGGGGUGUCCUCUUUCAUUGAGGGAGUAGAUAUCAGGCAAAAAACCGCAUAAGAGAUUAAAAUUUUAACUCUAGAAAGAUAAGAGAUAAAGGAAAAGGUAGAAGUCAAAACCCAUAGGUUAAGUUUGUAUGAUGAAAGAAGCAAGCCC